rnacentral:lncRNA from 1 species
ACGCGGCUGCACACGCACACGCACACGCACGUGCGAAUACCGUUGGUCGGGUCACAGAGCGAAAUUGCAGUGCCUUUGUAACAACAAUAUCUUGUUUCCAUGCCGCGUUCAACAAAGUUCAGCUGCGGGCCUCGCAACUUCCCGCGGUCCGAACGCAUUUCAUAAAAAGACGUUGGCCGUUGCACCAAAAUAAUUUUAACAUUACCCAGGAUUAUGUAGACCUCAAAUCCAAUGCAGUUUUGCUACAUGCGGCAUGCUCGGGUGCUUCAUGUUUGACCACAGGCCGCGUCACAGAACUGCAAGAAUACGGCCCGCCUGCAGGACCGAAUGCACUGCAAUAUUAUAGAAUUAUAAACCCUUCAAAAUCAUGCAAACAGAUUUUCAAAAUACUACUCCAUCAUGGAAAUCGCCUCCUCCUAGUAAUAGGCAAAUAGGGCCGGUCAUCCGUGAACAGCACCUUGAGCCAGUAAUGUUAGCACGUGCGCAUAGUAGAAAAUUUAUGCAUCAAGUUUCCGACAUUUAACCUACUAAUAUUUUAUAAGGACGCAUACCACGCGACUGCCUUUGGAAGCGUCCCUCAAUGUCGUGCAGUUGGUUCCGGAGGAGGCGCGGACGCCAUCGAUACGUCUUCGUGUCUAGACCGUCCUCGUCAAUUUUUGCAGAUUGUUUUAUCGCAAUUUUACUGAUCAGCAGACGCCUGUUAGAAGCAUGGCUGGAGCUCCUGGAGCGUAUGGCUUCCGUGAUCAGGAGCAUGAGCGCACACAUCACACGCGACAUCACUUAGUAUGACAUGGCAUAGCAACUUUCUAACCCAGUCUGAACGGUAGCUGGAUUUGAUAGUCCUCCUACAUAGCAGUAUCNNNNNNNNNNNNNNNNNNNNNNNNNNNNNNNNNNNNNNNNNNNNNNNNNNUUCGCUUUGAGUUGGGGUGCUGUGUCACCGCAGAUGUACGGUGCUGGGUUUCUGUUCAGCAUUUGCUAACAGCAGUAAGUUUUUUGAUAUACGGUUAUAUGGUGAUGAUCGUGAGCACGUCCCCCAAGACGUUUUGUGGGGGGUGUCAUGGGUAUAAGGAGCAGGUCGAACGUGAGGGGCCCUACUCGCGCUCUGGCACGCGGCUGCACACGCACACGCACACGCACGUGCGAAUACCGUUGGUCGGGUCACAGAGCGAAAUUGCAGUGCCUUUGUAACAACAAUAUCUUGUUUCCAUGCCGCGUUCAACAAAGUUCAGCUGCGGGCCUCGCAACUUCCCGCGGUCCGAACGCAUUUCAUAAAAAGACGUUGGCCGUUGCACCAAAAUAAUUUUAAUAUUACCCAGGAUUAUGUAGACCUCAAAUCCAAUGCAGUUUUGCUACAUGCGGCAUGCUCGGGUGCUUCAUGUUUGACCACAGGCCGCGUCACAGAACUGCAAGAAUACGGCCCGCCUGCAGGACCGAAUGCACUGCAAUACUAUAGAAUUAUAAACCCUUCAAAAUCAUGCAAACAGAUUUUCAAAAUACUACUCCAUCAUGGAAAUCGCCUCCUCCUAGUAAUAGGCAAAUAGGGCCGGUCAUCCGUGAACAGCACCCGCUGCCGGCUUGCGCAAGGAUUCUCUGCGCGCGCUCCACGCCCGCGCGCGCAGCGAGCACAAGGAUUUCCUAAAGUGAAAUGUCUUUUGUUUCGCGGAAAAAUAUGUUGGUAUGUGUGGGUGUGUGCGGCAAGCUGUGCCGGACGCUCGUCCGUCCGGCCGAGCGAGGGUCGCAGCGUCCGGCAGUGGGGAUACAUGAUCCACACAUUAAUGUUUUCUUCGCAGAGUAACAAUCUCACAUUUUCAUGACAUCAAUUAUGAUGCAGUCCAAGCUCCGAAGUGGUGGUCCUGCCCUCAGUGGUGCAUCGCGGAGAUGCUGCGUUAAGGUGUAUGCAAAAGUUAGCACGAAGGAUGGCCAGCCACGUGUAAUUAAGGGGAAGUGCUUUGUGACUCGUG